AGCGAACGCUGGCGGCAGGCCUAACACAUGCAAGUCGAGCGGCCGUAGCAAUGCGGCAGCGGCAGACGGGAGAGUAACACGUGGGAACGCGCCCUUCGGUUCGGAAUAACUCAGGGACACUUGGGCUAAUACCGGAUACGCCCUUACGGGGAAAGAUUUAUUGCCGAAGGAACAGCCCGCGUCCGAUUAGCUUGUUGGUGAGGUAACGGCUCACCAAGGCGACGAUCGGUAGCUGGUCUGAGAGGAUGACCAGCCUCACUGGGACUGAGACACGGCCCAGACUCCUACGGGAGGCAGCAGUGGGGAAUAUUGGACAAUGGGCGCAAGCCUGAUCCAGCCAUGCCGCGUGAGUGAUAAAGGCCCUAGGGUUGUAAAGCUCUUUCAGCGGGGAAGAUAAUGACGGUACCCGCAGAAGAAGCCCCGGCUAACUUCGUGCCAGCCGCCGCGGUAAGAC
rnacentral:rRNA from 1 species